CAUUUUUCGAUGAUCGGUACACAAAAGCUUACAGAAAUUCAUCGAAACAUUACUGAAUCAAACAACUAAAAUGUCGAAAGUAAUUCUAUUAUUAUUGUCAAUUUUCUUGAUAAUUGGCCUUUAUACUAGUGCAGCUGAGGACGGAUGCCCCGGCAAAUGGUGUCAUUCCGCGUGCAAGUACUAUUGUUGCGAAGGUUUUACGUGCUCCAGUGACUGGUUUCAAGGCACCUGUGUUUCUCAUUCUAACUGGAGAAAAAAACAGGGAGAAAUGGCGGCCAACGCGCCAUAAGUGGUGAAAAGAAAUGAUGGCGAUAUAUAAUUCCAUACAGGCAGUACAAAAUUCUAUUAUUCCGGAGCCGAUUCUCUAAGAUACAAAUUUUAAUGCAAUAUAUUUUUGAAAGUCAAUAAAUUGUAACAGUCACAUCGAAAAGUUACUUUUUGUCUGUAUUUAUAUAUCUUAUCAUUUAUGUCAGUUUUUGAUUUGACACAAUCAAUAAAUAAUGACGCAAACAAA